AUGCUUUCACAACUUGACUUCAAAAUAUUUGGUUUGGAGACCACCAAAGAUCAAUAUGUGCAUGAUGCUGAUUUUAACGAUGUAAUGCAGAAUUGUAAAGAAGGAAGAAUGUGGAACAAGUUGGUUGUUAACGAUGGAUUUGUGUUUCGUGCUAACAAGCUAUGCAUUCCAGCUAGCUCCGUUCGUCUUUUGUUGUUGCAGGAGGCGCAUGGAGGAGGAUUAAUGGGACACUUUGGCGUGAAGAAGAUAGAGGACGUACUUGCUACACAUUUCUUUUGGCCAAAGAUGAGACGGGAUGUUGAGCGGGCUGUUUUGAAGAAUAAUAAGAAAAUGUGGGAGGAAUGCUUGCCUCAUAUUGAAUUUUCUUAUAAUCGUUCAUUGCAUUCUACUACUAAGAUGUGCCCUUUUGAAGUUGUGUAUGGUUUCCUACCUCGUGCACCUAUUGAUUUGUUGCCUCUUCCAUCUUCGGAGAAGGUUAAUUUUGAUGCUAAACAACGUGCUGAAUUGAUUUUAAAAAUGCAUGAGUUAACUAAGGAAAACAUUGAGCGCAUGAAUGCUAAAUAUAAACUUGCUGGAGAUAAGGGUAGAAAACAUGUUGUGUUUGCACCUGGAGAUCUUGUUUGGUUACAUUUGCGUAAGGAUAGAUUUCCUGAUUUGCGCAAAUCAAAGUUAAUGCCACGUGCUGAUGGUCCCUUUAAGGUGUUAGAGAAAAUAAAUGAUAAUGCAUAUAAACUUGAGCUGCCUGCAGAUUUUGGGGUUAGUCCCACUUUUAACAUUGCAGAUUUGAAGCCUUAUUUGGGUGAGGAAGAUGAACUUCCGUCGAGGACGACUUCAUUUCAAGAAGGGGAGGAUGAUGAGGACAUCAAUACAAUUGUUACACCCACAGCCCCUGCGGCUAUACAUACUGGACCAAUUACUAGAGCUCGUGCACGCCAACUAAAUUACUAG
rnacentral:rRNA from 1 species